rnacentral:rRNA from 1 species
GAUGAACGCUGGCGGCGUGCCUAACACAUGCAAGUCGAGCGGGAUUCAUGAGGACGAAACUUCGGUCUAGAAAUCAUGAUGAGAGCGGCGGACGGGUGAGUAACGCGUAGGCAACCUGCCCUUAGCACAGGGAUAGCCUCGGGAAACCGGGAUUAAAACCUGAUAAUGCCAAACAGUCACAUGGCUGUUUGGCCAAAGAUUUAUCGGCUGAGGAUGGGCCUGCGUCUGAUUAGUUAGUUGGUGGGGUAACGGCCUACCAAGACGACGAUCAGUAGCCGACCUGAGAGGGUGAUCGGACACAUUGGAACUGAGACACGGUCCAAACUCCUACGGGAGGCAGCAGUGGGGAAUAUUGCACAAUGGGCGAAAGCCUGAUGCAGCAACGCCGCGUGAGCGAUGAAGGCCUUUGGGUCGUAAAGCUCUGUCCUAGGGGACGAACACAAUGACGGUACCCUUGGAGGAAGCCCCGGCUAACUACGUGCCAGCCGCCGCGGUAAAAC